AGCCCAUGAUGAGGGCACUAUCUAAGCAUACUCUUGAAUCUGUCUCAUGCUUCAAAUAAUGAUUCUAAGUAUGUCUGUCUAAAGCUUGCUAUUAGAUUCCUCAUGUG